CUGGUAUGCAAAAACAGUUUUUUAAUCCCUUUCUGGAUCACUUUUCAGGCUCUACUGCUUCUUUCUUUUCCUUAAAUCUCCUACAUAACGUACUCAGAAAAUAUGAGUACAAAUCCAAUAGUAGGAACACAUCAACAUUAACAUAUAUGAAGCCUUUGUUUGUUUUCUGGAAGCUGUAGUAAGAACAAAAUCCCAAACCCUUGGUUAUAUUCUCCCCAAGGUUAUGUAUUUCCAGACCCACAAACUUAAAGUUCGCAACCAUCCUAUGAGUGAAUUUCACUUUACAUGGCUAAAACCUAGACCAGAAAAUAGUUUUUACAUGAACAGAGUAGAUAAUUUUUCCACAGGUUAUAAAUAGGUUAUAUCAUGAGCAUUAUAGGAGAAAAUGAUCUAGUCAUUUUACCAAGUCCAGCUCGAGACAUUCAUACAAUGGCAAAAAGAUAAACAUAAGAAUAGUGAAAAACUGUUGAACAAAAAGAUAAUCAGAUCAUUUAUACAUUGAAAAGAAAUGUUGUUAAAAAUCUCCGAAGUCAUGCUCAAUUUUGCAGCCAGGGAACAAUUUUAAGAAACCAAUCUUAUGUUCAUCAUAUUUAAAAGGUAAAAGGACAAAAAAGGAGGUCUACAACUUUUCUCCUUAAUUCAUGAAGCAUUAUCCAUUAUCAAAUGUAUUAUGAGUUCCAAAACUUUACACGUAAUCUAUUCACAUUUUGUAAUAUUUGGGUCAAUUCUAAAUAGUGACAUUUGCUAUUUAUAAUCCCUGUUCAAAGCAAAGGCAGGCCAACAUCUCAGCUUAUCGGUGAGAAAGUAACCUUAAAUCCAGCUAUGCAAAACAUUAGAAGUGGAAAAGUACACCAAAUCUUAAAGCCCAAAUAAAGAAACUCAACAGACCUUAUCAAACUCAAUAUGUGGAACAGCCAUUUUCUUCAAUGAAGAAGCCUUCAAGUGGAUGAAAGACUAAUUACUGUAAAAUAAUUUUUUCUAUUACUGUCAUAAUAUCAAUAUCUAUGCACGAUGCUGUGGAAUCAACUCAAUCAAAUAUAAAUAAAAAAGUUGCUUUAUAUCACUUUUGCAUUAACAAACUAAUAGUAUUAAAACUAAAUUCCAUUAUCUUUAUUCACAUAUAUUGAUCCAGGUUGAAGAUUAUCAUGUGCUAGUAUGAUGCUCUGCUCAAUGCCAUCAACAAGGGCAUCAAAGGAUUGGUGCACAAAACCAAAGGACGUUACAAGAUAUACAAAAUAUUGAAGAUAACCCCCUGGGCCGGCAUGGGUAUGAGUGGCACUAAUAGCAACAUUUUUUUUUGCGUAAAGAUUUCCAUACCUAUAAUAGC
rnacentral:lncRNA from 1 species